AGACUUUUAAUUAAAGAUUUUGUCAUAACCAUUGUCACUUAAUUGACUUAUGGAUAAUAAAUUAUACAUUAAUCCAUAAAUUAAUAAAAUUAGUAAUAGAACGGAGAGAACCAUUACCAACUGUUCCGAAACCUAUAAUCUUCUCUUUUUUAUUACCUCUGAAACCCAGGAAGCCACUAGGCUUAAGUUCCAGGUCUUGGAACAUAUGACUUCUUCUUGUCAUGUGUCG
rnacentral:lncRNA from 1 species